UGCGGCGCCCUGCAGGCCCGGGCCUAACUGCUCAUCCUUCCCACCCCCGACCCUCCCACCUCGGGGCCACCGACCCAGGCGCCGGGCAGGGAAAGCUCGGAGGCCCCAGCGCCUGUAACCGAACCACCUUGUACCUCCGGCAUCACCCGCGGCCCGAGCGAAAGCGCAACCACCAUUCAGGCUUCCCAGGAAGCAAGGCUGCGAGCAGUUAACAUGGGCCUAGGAGUGGAACCUUCCAGAAGCCCACACUCACUCCACCCCCUGGGCACUGGGGCUUCUGGGACACCCUGGAAAUGAGAGGUGUGAGGACCGGGAGGACCCCUCGGGUGAGGAACACCCUCCGUGAUAACAGUCGUGUCCGGUUCACUGGGGGGGGGGGCUACGCUCAAGCGUGAAUGAAGUCCCACAAACGGCCGUGAGGAGCCUGCGGCGUCCACCCGGCACCCAGGCUCCCUGGUUCAGCUGCUGUCGCCUCUGGCCCUUCCCGACAAAUGCUCCGCAGGUGAACCUCCAUCACAUCUACUUUUGGGGGCAACUGUACGGCCAGUACGUACCAUCUCAUUUGACACUCCUAAGCACCCUGUAAGGCUGGAGCCUUGGGAGUGCCUGGAGGGCCCUGGAAGCUCGGCCGCCCCCCAGAGUCCCACAGCAGAAUCAGAGCAGCUCAGCCGGGCACCCGGAGACCCUCCUCUUUCCAAGUGGAAACGAAAAGGUCAAUAGUAACCGUCAUCAGCAUCAUCCCGUUUACCUCCUCGGAGAAGCGGCGGUGCCCAGACGACACCCCCGACCCUCAACACGGCUUACAUAUGGGAGGACAGAAUUAAAAGCAGGUGGAAGAGAGCGAGAGGUCAACGAUACUUCCCCAGCCAGCGGUGGGCUCGAAAGGACUCGAGACGGUCAAAGACUUGACUUGUGCCUGGUCUAUUAAACCUACCUACCGGCAGGCUGCUCGUCCUCUCCAGGUUUACAGAUAAUCCUCAUUAAAACAUUAUCAAGUACUCAUAAUCACUUUGUCACAAGUAACAUGGCAAAAUUAUGUUGGAACAUUUAAAUGGCUAGAUUUCAAAACUACUCAACUUUUAUUAGAGUUUACAGAUUUUUUUCAUUGGGACAUUAAACAGCACAAGAAGACGUGUUUAGAAAUAAGCCCUAACAUCUGUUGAGCAGUGGUAGCUGACAAAAAUUUUUUUAAGUUUAUUUGAUUUGGAAAGGGUUUCGGGGGCUGACAGCUUAAAUGCAUUUCAUGUGUCCCAGAAAAUACGGCUAAGUGUUUACCACAUGGUUUGUUUCUAAGCAACUAAGUAAACAUUCACUAAAAAAAAAAAAAAAAAAAAAAAAAAAAAAAUCUCAGAUACAUGUGCUCCU